rnacentral:lncRNA from 1 species
CUGGAACGAUUUGAUUAUCUUUUUGGUCAGGCCCGAGGCUGGCUGCUGCUGCUGCGGCUGCGGCUGCGGCUGCUCCUCGUCGCCCAGUGCCGCGGUUUCUUCCGGCUGCUCGUGGUGAGGAUUUUGGUUUUGGUUGUCGGCGCUGCUGCCAUUGCAUUUGAUGUUGUCCCAGGGAAUGGCGCAGAUGAUGACGCACAGGAGGAUAGCAAUGAAGAUCAUGGUGACGUGAAGAGCCGUGAAUCUCAUGGGAGAGGAGGAGGAAGGAGAAGUUCUUGGGAAGGAAGCUGCGUUGAUGCCAUUGCCAUUGCUGGCGGAGCUUGAGGCUGGAGGAGAAGGCCAUGGAGGUGCCAAGUCUUCCAUCACCACAGCAAUGUGAGAGGAUGAGGAAGGAGAAGGAGGCAUGAGGAGCAGCAGUAGCAGCAACAUCCUUCUACACUCUUUUCUGGAGGAAUCAAAGGAGAAAGAAUAAAGAGGGAGGAGAGAGAGAGAGGUGUGGAAGUAACUUUCAAGGAAGAAGUCCCUCAUGUAGUAGUAGUACCAUUUUGAUGAUUGAAGUGAUUCUUCUCCUCCUUCCUCCUCCCCUGUUGCCUUGCAAGCUUCCUCCAAAAUAUCCUCACAAACAAUUUGAUUGGGAAUGAGAUUUCCUGGGAGGAGCUCCAGGAACAAAAAUUUGUCACCUGGAAAACGAGCUAACCUUCUCCAAGAUCCCAACAACACAAAAACAAAGACACACCCCCACCACCACCACAGUUUACAAUCAAACCAGAAAAACUUGUCUUCUCUGUUCUCCCAUAGCCAGACCCUCUUCCUUCUCUCCCUCCCUCCCUCACAAUCUCCCUUGCCUUGCAGAAAGAGAGCAUUUACAUUUACUAUGGUUCAACUACCUCUGCAAAGAGAAAGAAAGAGAGGGACAGAGAAAUGAGAGAAAUUCUGGAUACUUGUGAUUCAAUUCAUCUCCUUGAUCCUAGGACCACAGGAGACUAAAUCGCUCCAGUCCCCUUCUCUUCUUCCACUGCUCAUCCCUUCAAAUCAGAAAGAGAGAGAGCUCCUUUCAGAUGUGAAGCGCGUUUUGGCUUUGACACACACUCUUCUUCCCCUCUUUGUUGCGUAGCUGUAGCCUGUAAGUAAUGCCCGGGCUCUCUGGAUCUCGAGUGCGCGCGCGUGUCUAAACGUCGGUGUGUGCGUACAUUGUAGUUGAGGGAAGAGAAGUUUGCGAAACUCCCCUGGCCACUUAAAUUCUCCACACUCUCCACAGGUCCCCUUCCAUGGGAUUAAAGAAAGCAUAGACUAACCAAACCACGUUUCCUCUAGCAUCUGCCUCGCAAAGAUCACUGCUUCUCCACCACCAAAAGAAAGAGAGUGCCAUCAAUCUCCAAUCCCUCUUUCACAUUUACGUGAGAGCCCACCAUUGCGGGCCUAGGAACGUAGCUCCUGACCCUUGAGAGUGACACAAAGAACACACAAACAAAUAGAAUUUUGUGCUCUCUCUCUCACACACACAUAGAUCAGUGUUUUGGGGCCAGAGGUAAUAAGCGUGAAGAGAAGGUGGCGGCUUUGAUUUUGUGAAUCAGUGCGUGAGUAAAAGAGAAGAGUGAAGAAUCAUGUGCAUUUUCCUGGGAACGGCAACUGGUGUAUUGAAUCUC